rnacentral:rRNA from 1 species
AAUGAACGUUGGCGGCGUGGAUUAGGCAUGCAAGUCGCGCGAGAAGUCAUUUAGCUUGCUAAAAGACGGACAGCGGCGGAAGGGAGAGUAACGCGUGGUUAUGUACCCUCGAGACCGGGAUAGUGUCGGGAAACUGGCAGUAAUACCGGAUAACAUCUUCGGAUCAAAUGGUGUGAUUCCGCUCGAGGAUCGGACCGCGUACUAUUAGCUAGUUGGAGGGGUAAUGGCCCACCAAGGCUUAGAUGGUUACCGGGUGUGAGAGCAUGGCCCGGCUCACUGGGACUGAGACCCUGCCCAGACAUCUACGGAUGGCUGCAGUCGAGAAUCUUCGGCAAUGGACGAAAGUCUGACCGAGCGACGCCGCGUGCGGGAUGAAGGCCUUCGGGUUGUAAACCGCUGUCAGUUAGGAGGAAAUCCAUGAGGGUUCUCUCUCAUGGUUGACCGAUUUUCAGAGGAAGGACGGGCUAAGUUCGUGCCAGCAGCCGCGGUAACAC